UACGUAGGGCGCAAGCGUUGUCCGGAAUUAUUGGGCGUAAAGAGCUCGUAGGCGGCCUGUUGCGUCCGCUGUGAAAUCCCGGGGCUCAACCCCGGGCCUGCAGUGGAUACGGGCUGGCUAGAGGCAGGCAGGGGAGACUGGAAUUCCUGGUGUAGCGGUGGAAUGCGCAGAUAUCAGGAGGAACACCGGUGGCGAAGGCGGGUCUCUGGGCAGUAACUGACGCUGAGGAGCGAAAGCGUGGGGAGCGAACAGG
rnacentral:rRNA from 1 species